ensembl:lncRNA
UUUCCCGCUCAGACAUUGUCUUGAUAGUAGCUUGUCAAACUCAGCCAGCUCCUGUCACUCCUGGGGUGGCUGGAGCUUGGAUGUCGUCACCUCUGAGCAGGGGCAGGGCAGUUUCUCCUUCCAACCUUUCUCUCAGAGCAGAGAGAGCAGUGGAAUGAAGGUCCCACGAGGCCCACCAGCCCCAGGGGCCGCCCGGGGGCGAGGGAUCGAACUUGGGACCUUCUGCUUGUGAGGCAGAUGGUGGAACUGUAAGACCGAGGGCCUUACCAAAUGCUCUGAGGAGCUGACUGUAGUGAAGCACACCCAGGGAUCCCAGCGGUGCCUCCAGAAUGUAAGACCGAGGGCCUUACCAAACGCUCCGAGGAGCUGACUGCAGCGACGAACACCCGGGAAGGAACACACCGGACACGUUGGAAAGUAAAACAGACCUUUAUUAGUCUGGCCAGACGGCACUCCCAAAGCAAAAUAGCUUAGAGAGGCAGCUAGCUCAGAGUCCGAGGCUGUUUUUAUAGGGGGUUGAGGGGGAGUUAACAUAUAGAAUUAAAGAAAAGGGGACAAAGGUUAGUGGUCGACUGUCACGUAUUGAUGGUCAGCAGACAUUUGCAGCUUGUUCUAAAAAUUGUGGUGCUCGGAACAUCAGUUCCGGGCAAACAAGGAGUUGAGUAGUUUACUUUGGGACUUUAGGUCUGUUACAGAUUUUUAUCUAGUGUCCCAAAACUAACAAGCAUCUUUAUCCAUUAACUCACAUUUAAUCACAAUGGGGCUGGAGAAAAGGAACAAAGGUUAAGCAGUCCCACAUUCCCCACUGAUUUUUGGAACUUAAGUAAUCUUACGCACAAAUGUAGGCAUCCAUUGUAUACAACAACAUGACAAUAAUAAGCAUGUACACAAAACUAUGAUGACAAGAAAAAGUUGUUUUAACCAUUUUAGGUUGGGCAACCACGAAGUUAACCAUUUGAACAAGUCCCCGUCAUCCUCAUUAUAUAUUCUUUGAGCCAGAUCUUCUAAUUGUUUUACCUUUUCUUCGAUCUUUGGACCAUUAUCGGUAAGAUUGAAACAACACAUAUUUUUUACUCUUUCACAACCUUGGUGGUGGAGGAGCAACAAAUAGUCUAUUGCUGUUCUAUUAUCUAAGAUUGCCUGUCUCUGUUCCUGUAACUCUUGGUUAAUUAAUGACAAGGCUGAUGAGCUAGCAUUUAACCCUUUGACCACCUUGCAAGCUAAUUUUCAUACUGCCUUUUCAGCAUGGACUCCUAUAGAAGGCAGGGCAACAAAAGAUGCUAUCAUGGUUAUUACUUCAGCAUCUGUUAACAGACCUACGUCAUCAUCGCAUCCUGGUGCAGUGUAAGGUGACCAACGUUUAGUUCUGUUAGGCACAAUCAAAUCAGUUCUGUCUGGCAACACUACAGCUAGACGACUCAAACAGCAACGGGUCUUGGUUAAAUUUGCUGGAAUAUAAUUAAAGGUUAUCCCUUCACAGGUAUAAAGCCAUCCUGUGGGCAGGGAGAUAUGGCAAUUGUUAUACACAAUUUUUUGUUUUAUAUGGCAGGACAUCCCUUUUGACCAUUUUAUCCGCAGACAUUUGGUUGUGCAAUUUUCAUACAUAGCACAUUCAGUUUUGUUUGACAUAAUUACCUUGGGUGUAUAUAAUUUGACAGCAUUUUUAGGUUUACAGCAGGUGUCAUGCCCCCAAUUUUAACUAUCCAGGUAAGUAAGAUUUUUUUCCUGGGAUGUCUUUAAAUAGGGUAUAGGGUCGUAUUAAUUCUAAAGAGGUGCAUACCGGAAUGAGACAGCUUCCCAGCACAUAAUGGAAAUUUACAUCAACAUUUAAGCAGAAUUCAGACAAGUUAAGCGAGUUUGCCAAUUGAAUCCAUACAUUUUUUUGUGUGAUCUAGUCCUCUUGGGGGCAAUACUGCCAGUGUCCCAGAGAAUAUUAUCAUUAAGGUGAAACAUCUCCAACCCGUUCCAGUCUUAGCUUUUGGUCGCCUGGUUGGCUGAUAACCUUCCAUUUGUCCUUUUUGACAUCCAUGGGGGGUCCUGCUUUCAGAUGGUUGCGAUGUAUCCAGGCAGAAUGUCCAGCCACCUUCACCGCCAAGGGAGCUGACAGGACAGCAGGAACCGGUCCCUUCCAACGAGGUUCCAGGGUCUUGGAAUCAAACCUCCGGAGGUUUUCUGAGGUCUGUGCCUGAGUCUCCUGCUGGAUCCCGCCACAGAGUCUUGGCUGAACGGGGGUCCCUUACCCGGGGAUCUCGCUGGGGCCUCCAAAAUGUAAGACUGAGGGCCUUACCAAACGCUCCGAGGAGCUGACUAUAGUGAAGCACACCCAGGGAUCCCAGCGGUGCCUUCAGAAUGAAAGACCAAGGGCCUUACCAAACGCUCCGAGGAGCUGACUGCAGCGAAGAACACCUGAGAAGGAACACACCGGACACGUUGGAAAGUAAAACAGACCUUUAUUAGUCUGGCCAGACGGCACUCCCAAAGCAAAAUAGCUUAGAGAGGCAGCUAGCUCAGAGUCCGAGGCUGUUUUUAUAGGGGGUUGAGGGGGAGUUAACAUAUAGAAUUAAAGAAAAGGGGACAAAGGUUAGUGGUCGACUGUCACGUAUUGAUGGUCAGCAGACAUUUGCAGCUUGUUCUAAAAAUUGUGGUGCUCGGAACAUCAGUUCCGGGCAAACAAGGAAUUGAGUAGUUUACUUUGGGACUUUAGGUCUGUUACAGAUUUUUAUCUAGUGUCCCAAAACUAACAAGCAUCUUUAUCUCUUAACUCACAUUUAAUCACAAUGGGGCUGGAGAAAAGGAACAAAGGUUAUGCAGUCCCACAGAACCACUGAGCUAAAUCCCCGGCCCUGAAAUGUUUUGAAUACGACCAUGUGUGAUACAUACAAGUAGAUCAGAAUAUUCUAAAAUGAUUCCACAGGUCUCUAGGAUCAUUGACAGUGAGUGAAGAGAAUCUAACAGUAAUAGCAGCAGCUAAUAUUCAUUCAGUGUUUGGUUUGUGCCAAGCACUAGGUCCUGGUUCUGAGUGCUUCCCUGUAAGAUCUCAUGUAACCCUCACCUCAAGGCAAUGAGGUGGGAACAGUUAUGGUACCCUUGUGUAUGUGGGGCCCCUGGACACUUGGAGGUUAAGUGCCUUGCUCCUGGUCACCUGAUGAGUCUGUCUGGCCCCCUAGCCUACGGUCUUUACCUUCCCCUUCGAGGCUCGUUGUCAUUCAGUCUGUAUCCUUUGAUACAUUAUAUAUGGAAACAUAAUAAAAUGACCUAUGUAUACUC